rnacentral:rRNA from 1 species
CACGUAGGGUGCGAGCGUUGUCCGGAAUUAUUGGGCGUAAAGAGCUCGUAGGCGGUGUGUCGCGUCGGCCGUGAAAACCUGCAGCUUAACUGUGGGCUUGCGGUCGAUACGGGCAUCACUGGAGUUCGCAGGGGAGACUGGAAUUCCUGGUGUAGCGGUGAAAUGCGCAGAUAUCAGGAGGAACACCGGUGGCGAAGGCGGGUCUCUGGGCCGAUACUGACGCUGAGGAGCGAAAGCGUGGGGAGCGAACAGG